GGGGCUCUGCUCCGCUGGACCCCCAGCUUUGCGCAGAUGAGCCGGCAGGCGGGCGAGGCGUGGAGGUCGAAUCAUUGCAAGAGGAGCACCUGGUUAUUCCUGCUGCGCCCUGUAUCCGCUCCUCUGCCGCUCUCUGGAGGAGAUUGGUACGGCCUGGCUGCUAGGCCAUGGCAUCUGGUCCUUGCUGGGAUCCAGGCUGAUACUGUGCAGACCCUGGGAGCCUCGGAGAACCACUGAAGGAUUCCGAGCAGGGGUGACGCAGUCGGAUUCGAGUUUCAGACGGCUCACUGUGGCGGUGCUUGGCGGAUGGGCUCGGGACGGGCGGCGAUGUGCGGCUGAGCUGGGGCCCUCUGGGUUAUUCGCAAGGACGGCCACAAGAACCCAGCAUGCGCCCCCAGCCUUUCUUGUGAUGACAGUGCUGCCCCUCCCGUAAGAGCAGCCGUGAGACUUGUUCUGGCUGACAGAAUGCAGUGGAAGUGACGCUCUGCAAGUUGCAUAGCCUGGGAUUUAAAAGACCUUGCAACCUCGUUCAUUCUUUCAAACUCCAGCCACCACUGAGUACCUAAAGACGGGUCAGUAUAGAGAGGGGCCCAGGGCCUGCCUGCACAGAGGGGCCCAGCGGGUUUAGCCCCCCAGCUGUCCCAGCACCAGCCAACCCACCGCUGAAUGCAGCCGCAUGAAAGCCCCAGCAAGACCCAGAAGAGCCAU